rnacentral:rRNA from 1 species
GAUGAACGCUGGCGGCGUGCUUAACACAUGCAAGUCGAACGAGAACCAAUGGAUUGAGGAUUCGUCCAAAUGAAGUUGGGGAAAGUGGCGGACGGGUGAGUAACGCGUGAGCAAUCUGCCUUGGAGUGGGGAAUAACGGUUGGAAACAGCCGCUAAUACCGCAUGAAGCAGCUGAGAGGCAUCUCUCUGGCUGCCAAAGAUUUAUCGCUCUGAGAUGAGCUCGCGUCUGAUUAGCUAGUUGGCGGGGUAACGGCCCACCAAGGCGACGAUCAGUAGCCGGACUGAGAGGUUGGCCGGCCACAUUGGGACUGAGACACGGCCCAG